GACGAACGCUGGCGGCGUGCUUAACACAUGCAAGUCGAACGGAAAGGCCUGCUUUCCCUUGUGGAUUGCGGGUACUCGAGUGGCGAACGGGUGAGUAACACGUGAGCGAUCUGUUCCCAACUUGGGUAUAAGCCUGGGAAACUGGGUCUAAUUCCCGAUAGGACUGCAGGGUGGUGUCUGUGGUGGAAAACGAUGUUCUAGUGGUUGGGGAUGAGCUCGCGGCCUAUUAGCUUGUUGGUGGGGUAAUGGCCCACCAAGGCGGCGACGGGUAGCCGGCCUGAGAGGGUGGACAGCGGCAUUGGGACUGAGAUACGGCCCCGACUCCUACGGGAGGCAGCAGUGGGGAAGCAUGGACGAUGGGCGGAAGCCUGAUGCAGCGACGCCGCGUGGGGGAUGACGGGCUUCGGGUUGUAAACUCCUUUCAACCGCGAGGAAGCCACCUGGUUGGAAGGGUGGUGACGGUAGUGGUAGAAGAAGCACCGGCUAACUACGUG
rnacentral:rRNA from 1 species